rnacentral:rRNA from 1 species
GAUGAACGCUGGCGGCGUGCCUAAUACAUGCAAGUCGAACGCGAGCAGCAAUGCUCGAGUGGCGAACGGGUGAGUAAUACAUAAGUAACCUGCCCUAGACAGGGGGAUAACACCUGGAAACAGAUGCUAAUACCGGAUAACAACACUGGACGCAUGUCUAGGGUUUGAAAGAUGGUUCUGCUAUCACUCUUGGAUGGACCUGCGGUGCAUUAGCUAGUUGGUAAGGUAACGGCUUACCAAGGCAAUGAUGCAUAGCCGAGUUGAGAGACUGAUCGGCCACAUUGGGACUGAGACACGGCCCAA